ACUCCUACGGGAGGGCAGCAGUGGGAAUAUUGCACAAUGGGUGCAAGCCUGAUGCAGCCAUGCCGCGUGUGUGAAGAAGGGCCUUCGGGUUUGAUGAAGCACUUUCAGUCGUGAGGAAGGUAGUGUAGUUAAUAGCUGCAUUAUUUGACGUUAGCGACAGAAGAAGCACCGGCUAACUCCGUGCCAGCAGCCGCGGUAAUACGGAGGGUGCGAGCGUUAAUCGGAAUUACUGGGCGUAAAGCGCAUGCAGGUGGUUUGUUAAGUCAGAUGUGAAAGCCCGGGGCUCAACCUCGGAAUUGCAUUUGAAACUUGGCAGACUAGAGUACUGUAGAGGGGUGAGAAUUGAUCAGGUGUAGCGGUGAAAUGCGUAGAGAUCU
rnacentral:rRNA from 1 species